UCUCUGUUUCUCUCUCUCUGUCUCGGUCUCUGUCUCUCUCCAUCCACGUUGUUGGUAUUAUUAUCAUAUCAAAGAGAAGAGGCCCCUAGCGAGGGUCUCAUAUUUUGGAAGUGUGUGUUUGUGCCUCUGUGUGUGUGUAGUUAUUUGGCGUUUGUGAAUCCGUAUCCUAAGCUGAAUGGUCGAUAAAUCACGUUGAAAGGUUUUCAAAAGUUGUUUGUGUCCCUGCAUUUGGGGUCCUGGGACAGGGCGUGAUGAGAAAUUUGCAAAGAGCCGGAAACCAAGAUCCCAGCCAGGCGGACUCCCCAACUCCGCCCAGCCAGGCGAACAACCCAACUCCGCCCUGUGAGAGAAGCAGGACCAAAAGAGGAGGUUGUUAGAUCUGUUUAUCCAAUGGGACUGGUCUAGUUAUCUAGCGCACUAUGGAAGACCCACCUGCAAAUACCUGAGAGUCAACCCAAACACUACGCUAGCACUGCUGGAAAAGAUGAAAGACACUAGUCGUAAGAACAACAUGUUUGCUCAGUUCAGGAAGAACGAGAGAGACACACAGAAACUCCUCGACACUGUGGUCAAUCAGCUACUCAACCUCGUCUCCGCCCACCAGACCUGAAUGGAGCCAUCCUAUUGACCAAUGAAACGCCACAAUCCUUCCACUAGCCAUCCUAUUGACCAAUGAAACGCCACAAUCCUCUUGCAUCCACGUGCAUGUAGUCGAAAAGGGAGAUGUAAUGCUCUUCCACUCUCUCUCCACAUAUACUAAAGGGAUUGUAAUGACCCUAUGUUACUAAUAAAGAUAUUACAA